rnacentral:lncRNA from 1 species
UGGAAGCAGAGGAGUGCCUGGCUGGGCUUGGUUCUGGCUGGGCUGAGACUGUUUAUGCACAAAGCUUCAGCAUCUGGGUGGUCCUGACUACAUCCAGGUGUCUCCUCAGCCUCCAAACACUGCCACAGAUUGAAGCACUGAACCAGCUUUUCCCAGCUAUGUCCUUGUUAAAAGCAGACGAUGGGCUGCAACGUCAUACUUGAGUUGCACAACAUAAAAACAGAUGGAUGUUUUGCAGCCAGCAAGCAAGACUUCCAGAGCUCUAUAUGCUCUUUC